GACAUUUUUCAGAUAGCUCUCUAUGACAUGCUUAAUGCACUGCGUGUGUGUUUGGAAGCCUACAGGAUGCUGAUCAAUCCCUUGGAGAUGAAAGCAGUAAAUCUGCAUUUAAAAAGGGAGAAAAAAUUCUCACCAGCCCUAAUUCUGCCACUUGACGUCCAGACGGCGAAAACUCUGAGCUAGGAGCACAAAAUCAACUACAAUGAAAAUGUUGGGACAAUGUUGGGACUGAGUCUUGUGGAUAAAAUGAAUGAGACAGAUGACAAACCUACUUAUAUAAAAAGAAUUUCCUGCAGCAGUUAAAAAGAAAAUGCAAUGGACAUCAGAUAAAUGGCAAUUUGUGAAGCACAAUGUGUUACAGAAUGGAGCAAACUGGAUCUGAAGAGAACAAACCCACACUGAGACAGCAGCAACAUUUGGAAACAAUUUCUUCCAAAACAGUUACUUCCCAGCUUUCAAACACAAAGCAGCCCCAUGAGAGUGGGGGAGAAACAGUCAUGUUUUUCAUUUCCUCUGACAUUUAUGAGUCUUUGUACCUCUCUAAAACGCAUUCUGUAACCUAAUGAAUUCCUUCAGUUGCCAGAAUUAUUAAACAAAACAAUAAGCCACGGCUUUUCAAGUCUUUUCAUGUCUUGUUAUGAUUGUAAGGUAUCUAGGUUAUAGAAAAUAGUCUCAAUCCAGCAGGGCAUGAUCAUGGACUGAAUAACAAUAGAGGGAGGCAGACAAAUGCAGGUCCGACCUGCUGAAAGCAUCUGUGAGAUUCUAACAAGCAACAUAAAAUAUAAGCCAAAAUUCCCUCAAAGCUACAACACCUCCAUAUUCUAGCAAAGUGAUGACAGCAGGAAAAUUCCAGCAAAAGCUCCCACUCUCAUAAUCACUUCUCAUAAUAAUACAAGAUAUAAAAGCAGAAGUAGACCAUUCAGCCCUUCCAGUCUGCUUCGCGAAUCAACAAAUCAU